AUUACUUUUGUGACUUUUUUACUAUCUAAAGCCGGUCAGUUUUGGACGUGUCUAAUAGAUGGCGUGAAGGAUAUUGUGUUGAUAUGUGCUUAUGGCGGCUCGUUGUCAACAGUUCAGCCACAGCUAUUUUUUUCAAAAAUUACCAAUGAAUUCGUUGGAGAAAAUGUGAAAGGGGCGUGUAGCCUACUGUCAACUAUUGUGCUGUAAAUCCUGGUAGCUAUCCUACUGAAUGUGUCAUCCAAAUGACAGAGAAUUCAUCAUAAAUAUCGACUGAUUAUAUUGGACUUGCUAGAUCACCAACUCCAGCAUAGACCAAUCUCUCAUUCCAUCUUCUUAACCUUGGAUAACUGAUUGGUUCUUGGGUUUGUAAUUUUGCAUGACAAACUUUAUGAGAAGUCACGUUUUUGAAGAAAAAGGACAAUGAGUAUACAGUCAACACGGUCCUU